UAGACCGCCUGGGGAGUACGGCCGCAAGGUUAAAACUCAAAUGAAUUGACGGGGGCCCGCACAAGCGGUGGAGCAUGUGGUUUAAUUCGAUGCAACGCGAAGAACCUUACCUGGUCUUGACAUCCACAGAAGAAUCCAGAGAUGGAUUUGUGCCUUCGGGAACUGUGAGACAGGUGCUGCAUGGCUGUCGUCAGCUCGUGUUGUGAAAUGUUGGGUUAAGUCCCGCAACGAGCGCAACCCUUAUCCUUUGUUGCCAGCGGUUAGGCCGGGAACUCAAAGGAGACUGCCAGUGAUAAACUGGAGGAAGGUGGGGAUGACGUCAAGUCAUCAUGGCCCUUACGACCAGGGCUACACACGUGCUACAAUGGCGCAUACAAAGAGAAGCGACCUCGCGAGAGCAAGCGGACCUCAUAAAGUGCGUCGUAGUCCGGAUUGGAGUCUGCAACUCGACUCCAUGAAGUCGGAAUCGCUAGUAAUCGUGGAUCAGAAUGCCACGGUGAAUACGUUCCCGGGCCUUGUACACACCGCCCGUCACACCAUGGGAGUGGGUUGCAAAAGAAGUAGGUAGCUUAACCUUCGGGAGGGCGCUUACCACUUUGUGAUUCAUGACUGGGGUGAAGUCGUAACAAGGUAACCGUAGGGGAACCUGCGGUUGGAUCACCUCCUUA
rnacentral:rRNA from 2 species